GUCGAGCGAACAGACGAGGAGCUUGCUCCUCUGACGUUAGCGGCGGACGGGUGAGUAACACGUGGAUAACCUACCUAUAAGACUGGAUAACUUCGGGAAACCGGAGCUAAUACCGGAUAAUAUAUUGAACCGCAUGGUUCAAUAGUGAAAGACGGUUUUGCUGUCACUUAUAGAUGGAUCCGCGCCGCAUUAGCUAGUUGGUAAGGUAACGGCUUACCAAGGCAACGAUGCGUAGCCGACCUGAGAGGGUGAUCGGCCACACUGGAACUGAGACACGGUCCAGACUCCUACGGGAGGCAGCAGUAGGGAAUCUUCCGCAAUGGGCGAAAGCCUGACGGAGCAACGCCGCGUGAGUGAUGAAGGUCUUCGGAUCGUAAAACUCUGUUAUUAGGGAAGAACAAAUGUGUAAGUAACUAUGCACGUCUUGACGGUACCUAAUCAGAAAGCCACGGCUAACUACGUGCCAGCAGCCGCGGUAAUACGUAGGUGGCAAGCGUUAUCCGGAAUUAUUGGGCGUAAAGCGCGCGUAGGCGGUUUUUUAAGUCUGAUGUGAAAGCCCACGGCUCAACCGUGGAGGGUCAUUGGAAACUGGAAAACUUGAGUGCAGAAGAGGAAAGUGGAAUUCCAUGUGUAGCGGUGAAAUGCGCAGAGAUAUGGAGGA
rnacentral:rRNA from 1 species